AGGGUUCGAUUAUGGCUCAGAACGUACGCUGGCGGCACGCCUAACACAUGCAAGUCGAACGAAGUAGCAAUACUUAGUGGCAGACGGGUGAGUAACAUGUAGGUAUCUGCCCUUUGGCCUGGAAUAACACGAGGAAACUUGUGCUAAUACCGGAUAAGUCUUUACGGAGAAAGCUUUAUGCACCAUUGGAUGAGCCUGCACUUGAUUAGUUUGUUGGUGGGGUAAUGGCCUACCAAGACUGUGAUCAAUAGCUGAUUUGAGAGGAUGAUCAGCCACAUUGGGACUGAGACACGGCCCAAACUCCUACGGGAGGCAGCUGUGGGGAAUCUUGCACAAUGGAGGAAACUCUGAUGCAGCGAUGCCGCGUGAGUGAAGAAGGCCCUUGGGUUGUAAAGCUCUUUCGUCGGGGAAGAAAAUGACUGUACCCGAAUAAGAAGGUCCGGCUAACUUCGUGCCAGCCGCCGCGGUAAUUC
rnacentral:rRNA from 1 species